UAAGCUUGCAGACAUUUCAUUACGUCUGGCAGCGAAGGUAGCUCGUUGGCGCCGGUUAAUGUGCGCUCAGCGGCAGUGGUUGCUCAGAGACGCGAGCUCCGAAGCCGAAACCGAAGCCGAAGCCGAGUCCGCCCUGCCGAGAGGCGCAGCAGUCUGGUCGCACCUGCCAGGCAGCUUCUGACAUUGCCUCCGGUUCUCAGGAUGGCUUGAUGUCGUUUACGUAAUUAUUUUCUUCUGUUUCUUAGAAAAAUGACUUGUCUUCAUAGGGUUGAAAUCCCAUCUUGUUUUUCCUUCUGUGAAUACGAUUCAUGUCUAGUUGUAACUGCAAAGACACAAUAUUCAGAUUUCAGACUCCCAACCUUUUUAUCCUCUUUUUUUCUCAUUUUAAAGAGAGCAGAGCUGGUUCUUGUUUGGAUAGUUUUGGUCAUUUUAUUUAAUUUUAUUAGAUUAUGAUAUUCUUUCAACGGGAUCCCUUUAAAUUUCUUACGCCACUUAAUUUUGUUGCUAAGAAAAAAAAAUGCCAAUCAGGAUUUGUUGCAUCAAAAUUCGAGAUCUACUUUGUAAAUGCUGAGGGUCAGAGAAUUGUCAAAGGAACACUAAUAAGCAUGCUACAAAUGGCUAGUGUAAUUUUAUUUCCGCGCUGAGGUGAAAAAUGCGAAUGUGUGUGUCUGCACUCCCUGAGGAGGGCCUGGCGGGUCUUUCUCAGGCAAAGGCAGUGACCUUACAGAUCAAAGUGGAUCUGGAAGUGUCUCAAGGGGCAUUUCUCCCCGAGGUACAGUAAGAAUUGCAUCACCAGGGCAGUUAUUAAGCUCUGUUGAAUAAUUCUGUAUUUUAAAAGAGGAAAGUGACCUUUUGUAUCUCCCAGAGGGUUGAUGACAUUACAGAUAUAUUCAAAAUAAAAGUGAUUGGAACAGGACUGUCGUUGUAACACCAGCUUUACACAAACUCAAGACAAGUUUGGCAUACAGUUGAAAAUAUAAAAGUAUUUUAAAGAAAAUAUUUCAUGAUACUGAAUUUAGGUGUGUGACUUAUUUCUUCUUAAUCAAAAAGCUUAUGGUUUAUGGUGAAUGGAGAACAGAAGUAUACUAUUGAAAUUCUCAAUUUUGUACGCUUUGAAAUGUGGACCCAUUUAUCUUUAACAAUAACUGUUGGUUUUCUUCAAUUAUCGGAGUUAUAUAUUUUUCACAUUUUAGCCUAUUUGAAAUUUGAGUAUUUCUCAAAAAGCAAUGAUAAAUGAAACAUUUGGCACAUUUAAGCACACUCUGUGCUUCUCAGAGGCCCUUGUCUUUGUGGUAGCAGUCAGGUGCUUCAAUUUUAACUAGGGUUUGAAUCCCAAUGUUGAUCUAACGAUUUAAAAAAGAGAUAUCACUACAAUGCAGAAGUGGAAAGAAGCAUUAUUUUAUAUAAGAAAAGGCUAUUAAAUGCCAAACAAGUCGAAGUUAGUAGAAAAUUGCCAAAUCUCUUGACUGUAUUACGGUGUUUCAAAGCCAGGAAAGAUUAUGUAAGAGAUUUGUGGUCUUAAAGGAUUAUUAUUCAGGUGCUAAGCAUCUAUCAAAAGCUUCUGGAUAACUUUCAAGAGAAGAUUAUUCACUUACAGGGAUGAGGACUUCAGUUGAGCAAAACAGUGAACUUAGUUUAUCCGAGUAGGAGAUGCAAACAAAACCCUGCAGUGAUCCUGUUAAUCUUGGAGAAAAUCCACCUUGUGAUGAUCCAUGGCUGUGAUGAUAGAAUCAGAACCUCUCCAGAAGGAGGGAAAUUAUACGUCUACUCUACUGUCUUACAGGCUCAAACAGUGCUGGAAAAAGGGAGGAGGAAGAUGGGGCUGAUGGACCGUAGUCCUGUCCCGAUCGAGUGCCAAAGGUCGAUCAGGAUCUGUGGGGCUCCAACUCCCGUGACCACAUUCCAAACCUUGCCAGCAAUGUGCAUAGAAUAAGUUCCCACCAGGGGCCAACCAACUCCAAAACUGGGCCAUUUUUAUUGACACAGGGUUUGUAAUUUGCCUUUUGAAAAUUUCAUGCCAUAUUCAUCUUCCCUGUCUGUGGAAUAAAUUUUUUUGAAGUUAUUCAAAACACAAUCAAGUGGAGUUCCUUCUGUGGACUGUGAGGAACCCAUAAUUUUAGCCUGUGAAAACGCAAAAGGCACACAGAGCAAGCAGAUGGACAACAAUAAACAGACAAAGACAAACUUUGGCCAAGUAAAUCCUCUGGGACCAAAUGGAUUCGAACCCCACCCAGGGAGUCGCUCUUCUGAGGACUCCGACCCAGUGAGUCUGCUUGCCAUCGCAAAGAGACUCUAGGUAGGAGGAACCUGUGCCACGUCUGGCUUCCUCCUACCUACCCACAGUGCACUAAGAAUCAUUCGAUUCUUACCUCUAGAGGGUUUCCCAAUAAACUCCUGUGGGUCAGUUUAUCUGCAAUAGGGCCCGACUGGGACUGGCCUACCUGGAGCCCCAGAAUACCGUCAGGGUGGCCUAGCCCCGGAAUACCAUCAGGGUGGCCUCUCCUUCCGCAGACCAGUGUCCGGAGGGGUCAAACACUGCUGAUGUCUGAUCCUGGUCUCUCCUAAAAAGAAACAAAGGCUCCAAGAUAAUAAGCUGCAGAGCAGCUGGCUAUCUCACUGGGGCCUCCAAGAAUGUUACACCCAGUGAGAGGGAACCAACCAGAGACCGAUAUUAAAUCCACACAGGAGUUUAUUACCGGCCAGGACCUGAGCCAAGCAUCGGACUUGAGCCUCGACUGGGGGAAGACAAACAUGCUUCAUACACCUUUGAGGCCAACAGUUUCUAGGCCCCCCUAUGGGAUAGAACUAGUAAAGCAAGCAAAAGGUACAGAA